GAUGAACGCUGGCGGCGUGCCUAAUACAUGCAAGUCGAGCGAACAGACGAGUAGCUUGCUCCUCUGACGUUAACGGCGGACGUGUGAGUAACACGUGGAUACCCUACCUAUAAGACUGGGAUCGCUUCGGGAAACCGGAGCUAAUACCGGAUUAUCUAUUGAUCCGCAUGGUUCAAUAGUUAAAUACGGUUUUGCUGUCACUUAUAGAUGUAUCCGCGCCUCAUUAGCUAGUUGGUAAGGUAACGGCUUACCAAGGCGACGAUGCGUAGCCGAGCUGAGAGGGGGAGCGGCCAAAAGGGAACGGAGACACGGUCCAGAAUCGUAAGGGAGGCAGAAGUAGGGAAGCAUGCGGAAGGGGCGAAAGCCUGACGGAGCAACGAAGCGUGAGGGAGGAAGGGCUUCGGAUCGAAAAACUCUGUUAGGAGGGAAGAACAAAUGUGUAAGUAACUAGGCACGUCGUGACGGUACCAAAACAGAAAGCCACGGCUAACUACGUG
rnacentral:rRNA from 1 species